CCUACGGGGCGCAGCAGUGAGGAAUAUUGGUCAAUGGACGAGAGUCUGAACCAGCCAAGUAGCGUGAAGGAUGACUGCCCUAUGGGUUGUAAACUUCUUUUAUAUGGGAAUAAAAUGUUCCACGUGUGGGAUUUUGUAUGUACCAUAUGAAUAAGGAUCGGCUAACUCCGUGCCAGCAGCCGCGGUAAUACGGAGGAUCCGAGCGUUAUCCGGAUUUAUUGGGUUUAAAGGGAGCGUAGGUGGAUUGUUAAGUCAGUUGUGAAAGUUUGCGGCUCAACCGUAAAAUUGCAGUUGAAACUGGCAGUCUUGAGUACAGUAGAGGUGGGCGGAAUUCGUGGUGUAGCGGUGAAAUGCUUAGAUAUCACGAAGAACUCCGAUUGCGAAGGCAGUUCACUGGACUGCAACUGACACUGAGGCUCGAAAGUGUGGGUAUCAAACAGGAUUAGAUACCCGUAUAGUC
rnacentral:rRNA from 1 species